rnacentral:rRNA from 1 species
AUCUAUGACUAUGCCACCCUGGAUGCACCCAGUCUCCUCUGAUCUCGGAAGCUAAGCAGGGACAGGCUUGCUUGGUACCAGGAUGGGAGAAAGAGAUUUCAGAACUU